rnacentral:rRNA from 1 species
GCCGGAACGUGCCCAGAGGACGGGGAUAGCGGCGGGAAACUGCCGGUAAUACCCGAUGAUCUCGAGAGAGCAAAGGUGUGAUUCCAGCCUUUGGAGCGGCCGACAUGGUAUUAGCUAGUUGGUGGGGUAACGGCCCACCAAGGCUGUGAUGCCUAGGGGAUGUGAGAGCAUGAUCCCCACCAUUGGGACUGAGACACUGCCCAGACACCUACGGGUGGCUGCAGUCGAGAAUCUUCGUCAAUGGGCGAAAGCCUGAACGAGCGACGCCGCGUGCGGGAUGAAGGCCCUUGGGUUGUAAACCGCUGUCGAGGGGGAUGAAGGCUUGAAGGUACUCCUUCAAGUUUGACAGAGCCCUGGAGGAAGCACGGGCUAAGUUCGUGCCAGCAGCCGCGGUAAUACGAACUGUGCGAACGUUAUUCGGAAUCACUGGGCUUACAGGGUGCGUAGGCGGCCGAACAAGUCAGGUGUGAAAGCCCUCGGCUCAACCGAGGAACUGCGCUUGAAACUGUUUGGCUC